AGUGAACGCUGGCGGUAGGCCUAACACAUGCAAGUCGAACGGCAGCACAGUAAGAGCUUGCUCUUACGGGUGGCGAGUGGCGGACGGGUGAGGAAUACAUCGGAAUCUACUUUUUCGUGGGGGAUAACGUAGGGAAACUUACGCUAAUACCGCAUACGACCUACGGGUGAAAGCAGGGGAUCUUCGGACCUUGCGCGAUUGAAUGAGCCGAUGUCGGAUUAGCUAGUUGGCGGGGUAAAGGCCCACCAAGGCGACGAUCCGUAGCUGGUCUGAGAGGAUGAUCAGCCACACUGGAACUGAGACACGGUCCAGACUCCUACGGGAGGCAGCAGUGGGGAAUAUUGGACAAUGGGCGCAAGCCUGAUCCAGCCAUACCGCGUGGGUGAAGAAGGCCUUCGGGUUGUAAAGCCCUUUUGUUGAGAAAGAAAAGCAGCAGGUUAAUACCCCGCCGUUCUGACGGUACCCAAAGAAUAAGCACCGGCUAACUUCGUG
rnacentral:rRNA from 1 species